rnacentral:rRNA from 1 species
GGAUGUGAAAUCCCCGGGCUCAACCUGGGAACUGCAUUCGAAACUGGCAGGCUUGAGUCUUGUAGAGGGGGGUAGAAUUCCAGGUGUAGCGGUGAAAUGCGUAGAGAUCUGGAGGAAUACCGGUGGCGAAGGCGGCCCCCUGGACAAAGACUGACGCUCAGGUGCGAAAGCGUGGGGAGCAAACAGGAUUAGAUACCCUGGUAGUCCACGCCGUAAACGAUGUCUACUUGGAGGUUGUGCCCUUGAGGCGUGGCUUCCGGAGCUAACGCGUUAAGUAGACCGCCUGGGGAGUACGGCCGCAAGGUUAAAACUCAAAUGAAUUGACGGGGGCCCGCACAAGCGGUGGAGCAUGUGGUUUAAUUCGAUGCAACGCGAAGAACC